CCCUAUGGGGUGCAGCGGCUGUGGGGCUAUUAUUUCGACGGAACCAACAAGGCCAAUUACACUCUUGUGGUCAAAAAGGAGAUGAACCAUACUCCUGGAGCCAUCUCCGUGGGAAACGGGGUCGCACGGAACCUCCUGGUAAAAGAGAAUGGGAUCAUCCCCUUCAAAGCCUAUGACGGUUCCUACCUUUUUCUCAAAAUCAAAGAUGUCUUUCCUUCCGAAUCCGAGCUGGUCUCGUCCGACCUGAUUUUGAUUUCCGAACAGGAUUUCAGGAAAAUUUUUGCCUUUCCCCCCGACGUUGCAACGGACCUGGUG
rnacentral:rRNA from 1 species